rnacentral:rRNA from 1 species
UGGGGAAUUGUUCGCAAUGGGCGCAAGCCUGACGACGCAACGCCGCGUGGAGGACGAAGACUUUCGGGUCGUAAACUCCUGUCGAGUGGGAAGAAUAGCCUGUGGGUGAAUAGCCUGCAGGACUGACGGUACCGCUAAAGGAAGCCCCGGCUAACUCCGUGCCAGCAGCCGCGGUAAUACGGGGGGGGCAAGCGUUGUUCGGAAUUACUGGGCGUAAAGGGCUCGUAGGCGGCCAACUAAGUCGGACGUGAAAUCCCUCGGCUUAACCGGGGAACUGCGUCCGAUACUGGAUGGCUUGAAGUCGGGAGAGGGAUGCGGAAUUCCAGGUGUAGCGGUGAAAUGCGUAGAUAUCUGGAGGAACACCGGUGGCGAAGGCGGCAUCCUGGACCGAUAUUGACGCUGAUGAGCGAAAGCCAGGGGAGCAAACGG